rnacentral:ncRNA from 1 species
AGAAAGGAUUAUUUUGCGGUGGGUCUAGAUGCUUUUGUAAAACUUGGCUAUAUGCUGGAAACUCCGUUGUAUCCGGCGCUACCCCGAUUAUAUCGAGGGUGAAAAUGCGUCCGGUGCGGACAAUCAGCAGGAAACCAUUUUAUUUGAAAGGAGCGUGAAACAUGAAAAUGUUUCUUGCUAUAUUUUUUGUAGCGAUUUUUGUCGCAAUGAUAGAAAUCGCAAUCAAGCAACGUAUCUUUCGAAAAAAGUAGGAUCCUCAACGACUAUACGCCAAGGCGUAAAUUGACAACAAGCGGGCAUGCAAAGUGCCUCUGCCCGCAAUUUUUUUCAAUGAACGCAAGAUAUAGUCUGAACUGCAUGGCGACAUGCAG